ACUUCUUCACUGCUUAGUACUUCGAAGUUACACAAUUUUUUGAAAAUUUAUAACUAGUAUAUAAUUUAUAUAGAUAAUAUUUUUCUUCCUCAGAUGAAAAAAAUAAGUUCAAGACACCUAUCUAGCAAGAAGAAAAAACCUGCCAGUAGGUUGAUGCUCAUAAGACAUGUAGAACACUUUCUAGCCCCCGAUUUGCUCAUGGUGACUGACUGCUGGCAGGAAAUAAACAUUUUUAAGAACCUCACCUUCAAAAUCUCAGAGUCGAGAACUUGGUGAAUAAGCCCUGUGAGUAAAUAGCAUGAAGAUAUUCAAGAGAAAGUGUUCUACUCAUUUCCCAUUUUUUACAAACAUUCAGUUAUGGCUUUUUGCAAUAGAUCCUCAAUUACGUGGUGGAAUAGGGUUUGUAAAAUUUUUUUUUCUAGUUAAUUACAGUCAUACAGGGGUUAACCAGGAACCUAUUUAUAUUCAAGCUCUCUAUUUUUAAACAUUUUUCUAAAAUGUGUUAGGAAACUUUGGCUAUUAUAACACCAAUAAGGAAUGUGAUUCAUUAAGGACAGUGCAUUGACCUGGGUGAAGAUUUUUUUGAAUUUGAAGUUUCAUUUUAGAGGUCUGUGACACAGGCCAUGCCCCAGAAGUUAGAGGAGAGCAGAAAAGUUUUAUCAAAUGACUGAUAUGAAUUUGUUCUGAUGUCAAAUUGAAUUUUUCCUCUAAGUUUAGAGUAAAAAAAAAAAGAAUUUUUAAACUUUAAAUGUAUAUAAUUGAUGGGUUCUGCUUAAUUGAGACUUACUGUAUGUAUUUCUUCUUUUGAAAAUCUUACUUUGAAAAGGAUAGAAGAAUCUGAAAGUAUUCCAGAGCCUUGUAAAAUUCAUGCUUAAUAGUUUGCCUCAUUCAGAUUUAUUUUGAUUGGCGUGCGAUUCCUAUGUUGUGUUCUGAAAUACCCGAAAUCACAACAUCUUGAUAGAGUCUGCUCUAUUUUUGAAUUGUUUUAAAUAGUAACUUAAAAAUUUGCAUUAAUUGAAAAGUACCUUGUCAUAACAUUUGCUUUGUGUCAUGAAAGGUUAUCUAUAUUUGGAAGUAACAUUUUGGUAAAAGGAAGAUUAUGGAAUAUUUAUGAACUUUCUCUCACACAGAUUCGUAGGUUAUUAGAACAGGAUGGAACUUCAGAGCUUUUCAGCCACAGCCUUCUCAGUUUACAGUGAAAGGAAAUGAGGUCCAGAGACAUUAAAUGACUUGCCCAAGGACACACAGCUGAAGAGCUGUAUAAAAUGAACUGUAACCCUGGACUCCUGGUUCCAGGCCAAGAAUUUCUACCAUGGAAAAUUCUCUCCAAUAAACCUGAUAAUAAUUUCAAAAAAUUAUGGUGUAAAGCUGGAAGGGAAUGCAUUUUAUUUUCAGUACACUUCAUUCACUUCAUUAUAGUGAAUUAGAUUUUUUUUUUUUUUUUUUUUUGGUCUUUUUUAGGGCCACAUCUGUGGCAUAUGGCCCUUCCCAGGUUAGGGGUCCAAUGGAAGCUGUAGCCGUAGGCCUAUACCACAGCCACAGCAACUUGUGAUCCAAGCCAUGUCUGCUACCUACACCACAGCUCAUGGCAAUGCUGGAUCCUUAACCUAUUGAGCGAGGCCAGUGAUCGAACCCUCAUCCUCAUGGAUACUAGUUGGAUUCAUUUCCGCUGAGCCACUACGGAAACUAGUUUUUGAAUACACAUAUAUAUGUUUAAUUUUUUUUUUUUUUUUCUAGGGCCACACCUGAGGCAUGUGGAGGUUCCCAUAUGGGGUCGAAUCGGAGCUGCACCUGACAGCCUACAUCAUAGCCACAGCAAUGCGGGAUCCAAGCCCCAUCUGUGACCUACACCACAGUUCACUGCAACGCUGGAUCCUUAACCCACUGAGCGGGGCCAGGAACAAACCCAAGUCCUCGUGGAUGCUAGUCCGGUUUGUUAACCUCUGAGCCACGAUGGAACUCCUGAAUUAACUUCUUCUCAUGACCCAGUUUUAGGACCGUUGCAUCUUCACAAGCUCACUGGCAGGAAUAGGGAUACAGUUGAAAACAAUCAGUUUAAAUUCUUAGAUUAUUUCAGGGUUGUUUUUUUAAUGUUUGAAGAAAGAUGAAAUUAUUGUCGGUUGAUGGCUCUUAAUUUCAAAAUACCAAGAGUUAUAAUUUCAACUUGCAUGCAACUGAAUUUUAUGGUAGAGAACAGAUACUUGUGCACUCCUAAUUUUGUUUUCAUUAAGUUCUUUAGGAACCUUUUAGUGCAUGUAUACGUGGCAAAUAUUUUCACGGUCAUAAUAUUUGGUACAGAACCAAGAGAAACUGUUGAUAAUACUAUUUAUAGUAGUCUGCCUUUAUAAAUCUGUUUACGUAACCAAAAUCAAUAAUAUAACCAACUGGAAUUAACACUGAUUGCCUUCUGGGAGAGACAGACAGAAAAAAGUCACAGCCAGUUGGCAUCAAAUUAUAGCAAGAACUCAGUACCACUGGCCGCAGCUAAUAGAGGUUGCCAGAAAAAGUGCACUUCUGGGCCAUUGGUAUUCACAUGUGCAGCCUGUUUUCAUAUUAUGGAGCCAAAAACUUUUUUUUAAAAUGGCAUUUUAGAAUCCUGAUGAUUUUUUUGGGGGGGGGAAUUUGUAUAAAUAUCAGUCUAUCAGCUGGGAUUAAGACUCUUACAUUACUUCCUUCCUUUCUUUUUUUUUUUUUGGCUUUUGUCUUUUUAUGGCCGCACCCACGGCAUGCGGAGGUUCCCAGACUAGGAGUCCAGUCCAAGCAAUAGCAGCCAGCCUACACCACAGCCAUAGCAACGCGGGAUCCAAGCCCCAUCUGCAACCUACACCACAGGUCGCAGCAAUGCCAGAUCCCCAACCCACUGAGUGAGGCUAGGAAUCCAUGUGGAACCCGAGUCCUCGUGGAUACUAGAUGGGUUCGUUUACCACUGAGCCACGAAAGAAACUCCUACUUCCUUUAUUUCUUAAUUGUCUAUUGAUUACCUACCUGCUCUAAGUACCUAUUAAGUAACUAGUGAAGGCAGGGUGAUCUUUCAAGGCAAAUAAUAUUUUGAGGAUAGUAAUCAGCUCUGUUGUUUAUAUGUGUGUAGUUUUCCUGACUUCCAGGAUACACUCUAAAUUUUUUUAUAAUCUGAAAGCCAGUUUCAAAUUACAGUGUUAGGGAUUCUUUGGUGAUUAGCAUUGCUCAGUAUUUCUUAAUAGCCCAUUUUAAUGCUUCACGUUUCCUUCUAAUUUCCAUUUCUCGGAUAAGUAGUUUUGGGCCACAACCCCCACCUCUUGCCACCUCUCCCACAAUAAGCCAAAUAAAUACGGCUUCUAAUGAUGAUAAUUUGUUUUAAACCACAAGAUAAGUUUUGGGACUUUGUAUAUUUAAUUUACAUUAAGUGCCUAAACUUUUGACUUAAAAAGGCAAGGGAAUAAUCUGCACAUUCACUUAAAAAAUAAUAAUCUGCUGCUCUGCAGUUGCCUUUUGCCAAGGUACGGUACUGUCACUCACCAAUGGAUACUCAGUGUGGAAAUGGGCCUUUUGCCCUCGAGAAAGUCCUACGGCCUUGACUGCAGAGCUGGACAUAUAGAACCAGAAAACAGAGAUUUCGGUCUAUGGUACUGUACUCUGUGUUUCUAGUUAAACUGGAACAAGACAAAACAUUUUAAGAAAUGAUUCUCGUUUGCAGCAACGUGGAUGGAACUAGAGACUCUUAUCCUGAGUGAAGUAAGUUAGAAAGAGAAAGACAACAUAUGAUAUCACUUAUAUCUGGAAUCUAAUAUAUGGCACAAAUGAAUCUCUCCACAGAAAAGAAAAUCAUGGACUUGGAGAACAGACUUUUGGUUGCCAACUGGGAGGGGGAGGGAGCGGGAUGGAUUGGGAAUUUGGGGUUAAUAGAUGCAAACUGUUGCUUUUGGAAUGGAUUGGCAAUGAAAUGCUGCUGUGUAGCACUGGGAACUCUGUCUGAUCACUUAUGAUGGAGCAUGAUAAUGUGAGAAAAAAGAAUGUAUACAUGUAUGUGUAACUGGGUCACCUCUCUGUGCAGUAGAAAAAAAAUUGUAUUGGGGAAAUAACAAUAACCAAAAAAAUUAAAUUAAAAAAAAUAAUGAAAUGAUUCUGCAGAGAUGGGUCCAAAUAUCCAGCCUGGCUUGAAAAUUUUCAUUUCUUAAUUCUCUGGGCAUUUUGCAGUCAGUCAGUUCCAAACACUUGGGAGUUUCAUUUCUCCAUU
rnacentral:lncRNA from 1 species